rnacentral:rRNA from 1 species
UUCGAUAGUCCGAGUUGUAAUCUAUAGACGUGUUUUCCGUGCUGGACCGUAUCUAAGUCCCUUGGAACAGGGUAUCAAAGAGGGUGACAAUCCCGUGCUUGAUACGACCACCAGUGCUCUGUGAUACACGCUCUACGAGUCGAGUUGUUUGGGAAUGCAGCUCAAAAUGGGUGGUAAAUUCCAUCUAAAGCUAAAUAUUGGCGAGAGACCGAUAGCGAACAAGUACCGUGAGGGAAAGAUGAAAAGCACUUUGGAAAGAGAGUUAAACAGUACGUGAAAUUGUUGAAAGGGAAACGAUUGAAGUCAGUCGUGUUCUUUGGAUUCAGCUAGUUCUUCUAGUCUACUUCCUUUGAACGGGUCAACAUCAGUUUUGUCCGGUGGAUAAAGAUAGUAGGAAUGUAGCUCCCUCGGGAGUGUUAUAG